rnacentral:rRNA from 1 species
AGAAUGAACGCUGGCGGCAUGGAUUAGGCAUGCAAGUCGUACGAGAAUCCUCUCUUCGGAGAGGAGGACAGUGGCGAAAGGGUGAGUAACACGUGAGUAUCUACCUCCAGGUCGGGAACAGCCCGCGGAAACGCGGAUUAAUGCCCGAUGGUCCCUUCGGGGUAAAGAGGAAUCGCCCGGAGACGAGCUCGCGGCCCAUCAGCUUGUUGGCGGGGUAACGGCCCACCAAGGCGACGACGGGUAGGUGGUCUGAGAGGAUGGUCACCCACACUGGGACUGAGAUACUGCCCAGACUCCUACGGGAGGCUGCAGUCGAGAAUCAUCCGCAAUGGGCGAAAGCCUGACGGUGCAAUGCCGCGUGGGGGAUGAAGGCCUUCGGGUCGUAAACCCCUGUCAGAGGGGACGAAAAACAUGACGGUACCCUCAGAGGAAGCCACGGCUAACUACGUGCCAGCAGCCGCGGUAAUACGUAGGUGGCGAGCGUUAUUCGGAUUUACUGGGCGUAAAGGGUCCGCAGGGGGUUUGCCGAGUCCGAUGUGAAAGUCCGCAGCUCAACUGCGGAACUGCGUCGGAUACUGGUGAACUUGAGUGCGCGAAGGGCGAGCGGAAUUCCAGGUGUAGCGGUGGAAUGCGUAGAUAUCUGGAGGAACACCGGCGGCGAAAGCGGCUCGCUGGCGCGCCACUGACCCUCAUGGACGAAAGCGUGGGGAGCGAACAGGAUUAGAUACCCUGGUAGUCCACGCUGUAAACGGUGCAGACUCGAUGCGGGGGGCGGUCCCCUCCGUGUCUAAGCCAACGCGUUAAGUCUGCCGCCUGGGGACUACGGCCGCAAGGCUAAAACUCAAAGGACUUUGACGGGGGCCCGCACAAGCGGUGGAGCAUGUGGCUUAAUUCGAGGCAACGCGAAGAACCUUACCCGGGCUUGACAUAUUCCGGACC